CCCUUAGAUGUUCUGGGCCGCACGCGCGCUACACUGACGGAUUCAACGAGCUUACAACCUUGGCCGAAAGGUCUGGGUAAUCUCCAAAAUCCGUCGUGAUGGGGAUAGAUUAUUGCAAUUAUUAAUCUUCAACGAGGAAUGCCUAGUAAGCGCAAGUCAUCAGCUUGCGUUGAUUACGUCCCUGCCCUUUGUACACACCGCCCGUCGCUCCUACCGAUUGAAUGGUCCGGUGAAGCGUUUGGACUAUGGUUUUCUGAUGGUCCGCCGCUGGAUUACCGUGGGAAGUUCGUUAAACCUUAUCAUUUAGAGGAAGGAGAAGUCGUAACA
rnacentral:rRNA from 1 species